rnacentral:misc_RNA from 1 species
GUUUCUCAUUGUUUCUCUUUUUUUGGUGUCAGAAGAUUAUGUAAAAACAGUUGUUUGGGCGUGGUUUCGCCGGGCCGGGACCCGCAAGGGCCCCCGUCCGACCACGUGGUUCACAAGGUGGUUGAACUUUUCGCCCCGCAAGCGGGGCUAAAGCCGGAAUUUUGAUUCCUAAUUUGUAAUGAUCCAACCGCAGGUUCACCUACGGUUA